rnacentral:rRNA from 1 species
AGUGAACGCUGGCGGUAGGCCUAACACAUGCAAGUCGAACGGCAGCACAGGAGAGCUUGCUCUCUGGGUGGCGAGUGGCGGACGGGUGAGGAAUACAUCGGAAUCUACUCUGUCGUGGGGGAUAACGUAGGGAAACUUACGCUAAUACCGCAUACGACCUACGGGUGAAAGCAGGGGACCUUCGGGCCUUGCGCGAUUGAAUGAGCCGAUGUCGGAUUAGCUAGUUGGCGGGGUAAAGGCCCACCAAGGCGACGAUCCGUAGCUGGUCUGAGAAGAUGAUCAGCCACACUGGAACUGAGACACGGUCCAGACUCCUACGGGAGGCAGCAGUGGGGAAUAUUGGACAAUGGGCGCAAGCCUGAUCCAGCCAUACCGCGUGGGUGAAGAAGGCCUUCGGGUUGUAAAGCCCUUUUGUUGGGAAAGAAAUCCAGCUGGCUAUACCCGGUUGGGAUGACGGUACCCAAAGAAUAAGCACCGGCUAACUUCGUGCCAACCGCCGCAGUAA